rnacentral:rRNA from 1 species
ACCCGAAGCCGGUGAGCUAACCCUUUGGGAGGCAGCCGUCGAAGGUGGACUUGUGAUUGGGUG